rnacentral:rRNA from 1 species
AUACAGAGGGUGCGAGCGUUAAUCGGAAUUACUGGGCGUAAAGCGCGCGUAGGCGGCUUGGUCAGUCGGAUGUGAAAGCCCCGGGCUCAACCUGGGAAUGGCAUUCGAUACUGCCAGGCUAGAGUAUGGGAGAGGGAAGUGGAAUUUCCGGUGUAGCGGUGAAAUGCGUAGAUAUCGGAAGGAACACCAGUGGCGAAGGCGACUUCCUGGCCCAAUACUGACGCUGAGGUGCGAAAGCGUGGGGAGCAAACAGGAUUAGAAACCCCUGUAGUCC